rnacentral:rRNA from 1 species
UUAGCUAGUUGGUUGAGGUAAUGGCUCACCAAGGCGACGAUCAGUAGCUGGUCUGAGAGGAUGAUCAGCCACAUUGGGACUGAGACACGGCCCAAACUCCUACGGGAGGCAGCAGUGGGGAAUCUUGCGCAAUGGGCGAAAGCCUGACGCAGCCAUGCCGCGUGAAUGAUGAAGGUCUUAGGAUUGUAAAAUUCUUUCACCGGGGACGAUAAUGACGGUACCCGGAGAAGAAGCCCCGGCUAACUUCGUGCCAGCAGCCGCGGUAAUACGAAGGGGGCUAGCGUUGCUCGGAAUUACUGGGCGUAAAGGGAGCGUAGGCGGACAUUUAAGUCAGGGGUGAAAUCCCGGGGCUCAACCUCGGAAUUGCCUUUGAUACUGGGUGUCUUGAGUAUGAGAGAGGUGUGUGGAACUCCGAGUGUAGAGGUGAAAUUCGUAGAUAUUCGGAAGAACACCAGUGGCGAAGGCGACACACUGGCUCAUUACUGACGCUGAGGCUCGAAAGCGUGGGGAGCAAACAGGAUUAGAUACCCUGGUAGUCCACGCCGUAAACGAUGAUUGCUAGUUGUCGGGAUGCAUGCAUUUCGGUG